rnacentral:lncRNA from 1 species
ACCAAUACUGUUGGCUCUUCCAAUUUUGUUUACACUUGGCAUGUAAAAAAAAAUCGGGAAGCGAUGAAAUUUUGUCGCCGAUGGACAAAAUUCCCAAUAAAAAGGAUAAAUGUCCAUCUCUGAAACAUAUCUCGUAGAUGUGUGAAUGUCUAUUGCCUAAGCGUUGAUGGAUGAAGUUUGAUGUACAUUACAAUCAUUGGCUUUGAGUCCAAGGAAGAGUCCAUUAUGCAAUCUGCUACUGGCUAGAGUUGAACAUAAAAGACAUGUUAGAAUAAUGGACGAGUUAGUAUAAUAGCUUUGGUCCAUGAAGAACGUAAAAUGACAAAAAUUGUAAUGGACAAGGUAUUAUAAUGUACGAGUUAAAUAAUAAAUAUGGUCUAUCAGAUACUCACUCUAUGGUUCCUCGAUGGACAAUACCUAAUCUCGUAUCCCUACCGAGAUUGUUGUCAUGCGCCGCGAGACAAAGAGAAUCUAUGGACAAAAAAACAACUGCUCAUAUCGGUGGACCAAAUAAAAUAUCCAAGUUAAAUAAUAUCUAGUCCUUGAUGGACAAAUAUUCACUCUUUGGUUCUUCGAUGGGCAACACCUGAUCUAUUGUUGACAUGCGUCGUAGAACAAUCAUCUGAUCUGGCCAUCAACUUCGUUGGGAUGACAAAAAUCAAAAUUUAGAUGAGUGGACAAAAUGAUACCGGAUGAGUUGGAAAAUAGAUCUGGUCCAUCAAAUACUAACUC